rnacentral:rRNA from 1 species
AUUGAACGCUGGCGGCAUGCCUUACACAUGCAAGUCGAGCGGGGUGAUGGUGCUUGCACUAUCACUUAGCGGCGGACGGGUGAGUAAUGCUUAGGAAUCUGCCUAUUAGUGGGGGACAACAUCUCGAAAGGGAUGCUAAUACCGCAUACGUCCUACGGGGGAAAGCAGGGGAUCACUUGUGACCUUGCGCUAAUAGAUGAGCCUAAGUCGGAUUAGCUAGUUGGUGGGGUAAAGGCCUACCAAGGCGACGAUCUGUAGCGGGUCUGAGAGGAUGAUCCGCCACACUGGGACUGAGACACGGCCCAGACUCCUACGGGAGGCAGCAGUGGGGAAUAUUGGACAAUGGGGGGAACCCUGAUCCAGCCAUGCCGCGUGUGUGAAGAAGGCCUUAUGGUUGUAAAGCACUUUAAGCGAGGAGGAGGCUCUUUUGGUUAAUACCCAGAAUGAGUGGACGUUACUCGCAGAAUAAGCACCGGCUAACUCUGUGCCAGCCGCCGCAGUAA